rnacentral:rRNA from 1 species
CUACCGUGGCGUUAACGGGUAACGGGGAAUUAGGGUUCGAUUCCGGAGAGGGAGCCUGAGAAACGGCUACCACAUCCAAGGAAGGCAGCAGGCGCGCAAAUUACCCAAUCCUGACACAGGGAGAUAGUGACAAAAAAUAACAAUACCUGGCCUCAAUAGGUCGGGUAAUUGGAAUGAGUACAAUUUAAAUCCCUUAACGAGGAUCAAUUGGAGGGCAAGUCUGGUGCCAGCAGCCGCGGUAAUUCCAGCUCCAAGAGCAUAUAUUAAAGUUGUUGCAGUUAAAAAGCUCGUAGUUGAAUAUCUGGUAUAACGUACCUGGCCCGCAGCCUUUAGGCUUGUGUGUGCCGGCGCACGUUUGCCAUCUUUCUAGAAAACGGGUCUGCCAUUAACUUGGUGGGUUCGGGAUCUAGAUCAUUUACUUUGAAAAAAUUAGAGUGUUUAAAGCAAGCAAUUGCUCUGAAUACAUUAGCAUGGAAUAAUAAUCUAGGACUUCGGUUCUAUUUUGUUGGUUUCUAAAACUGAAGUAAUGAUUGAUAGGGACAGUUGGGGGUGCUAGUAUUGGCCGGCCAGAGGUGAAAUUCUUGGAUUCGGUCAAGACUAACUUAUGCGAAAGCAUUCACCAAGGAUGUCUUCUUUAAUCAAGAACGAAAGUUGGGGGAUC